ACCCGCUGAACUUAAGCAUAUCAAUAAGCGGAGGAAAAGAAACCAACAGGGAUUGCCCUAGUAACGGCGAGUGAAGCGGCAACAGCUCAAAUUUGAAAUCUGGCUCUUUUAGAGUCCGAGUUGUAAUCUGCAGAGGGCGCUUUGGCUUUGGCAGCGGUCCAAGUUCCUUGGAACAGGACGUCACAGAGGGUGAGAAUCCCGUACGUGGUCGCUGGCUAUUGCCGUGUAAAGCCCCUUCGACGAGUCGAGUUGUUUGGGAAUGCAGCUCUAAAUGGGAGGUACAUUUCUUCUAAAGCUAAAUAUUGGCCAGAGACCGAUAGCGCACAAGUAGAGUGAUCGAAAGAUGAAAAGCACUUUGGAAAGAGAGUCAAACAGCACGUGAAAUUGUUGAAAGGGAAGCGCUUGCAGCCAGACUUGCUUACAGUUGCUCAUCCGGGUUUCUACCCGGUGCACUCUUCUGUAGGCAGGCCAGCAUCAGUUUGGGCGGUAGGAUAAAGGUCUCUGUCACGUACCUCCUUUCGGGGAGGCCUUAUAGGGGAGACGACAUACUACCAGCCUGGACUGAGGUCCGCGCAUCUGCUAGGAUGCUGGCGUAAUGGCUGU
rnacentral:rRNA from 1 species